CCAGCCGAGCCAGGCCGGCCUGACAUGCGCAGUGCGCGGGCUCUGCGGCCGGGCGGGCCCUGAGCGCACUGACUGCCCGGUAAGCGGAGCUCAGACCUUUUGGGGGUCCUGACCAGCCCACAGGGCCCAGAAGGCAGCGGGGCCCCUGAGAUGAGGAUUUGGAUCAAGGUGUCCUGUUCAGUUUGUACCCAGAGGCUCAGCUCUCUCCUCUUCCUCAGGGCCCAAAAGCCACCGAGGGAGAAAACAGUCCAAAGACGGUUCAUUUGGAGCAGCAUGAAAACAUGUUGGAGAGUCUUGUGCAGAACUGUUGGCUAUUUUCGGGGAGAGAAGCCAUGUCAGUGCUUCUUACCGCAUCGCCUCCACGAGAGCUGGCGCUCUGUGCCUGCUCCCAGAGCCCUGGGCCUGCCUUGACUGAGGUGGGGUUAGGUGUUCACAGUUUUGUAGUAUGCUUUCAAGCAUGAAGAACCUGAUUUUCGUUAACGUGUGGCAAGGUCAGCACUGCCAGAUUAAGAAUGAGUGUCAGUAGAUUUUUUGGAAGUCGUUGAGAAGUGUAUUUUUUGUAUAUUACAUGUUAUUUCUAGAUUCA